UACGUAGGGUGCAAGCGUUGUCCGGAAUUAUUGGGCGUAAAGAGCUCGUAGGCGGUCAGUCGCGUCUGCUGUGAAAACUCGGGGCUUAACUCCGGGCCUGCAGUGGGUACGGGAUGACUAGAGUGCGGUAGGGGAGACUGGAAUUCCUGGUGUAGCGGUGAAAUGCGCAGAUAUCAGGAGGAACACCGGUGGCGAAGGCGGGUCUCUGGGCCGUAACUGACGCUGAGGAGCGAAAGCGUGGGGAGCGAACAGG
rnacentral:rRNA from 1 species